AGUGAACGCUGGCGGUAGGCCUAACACAUGCAAGUCGAACGGCAGCACAGUAAGAGCUUGCUCUUACGGGUGGCGAGUGGCGGACGGGUGAGGAAUACAUCGGAAUCUACUUUUUCGUGGGGGAUAACGUAGGGAAACUUACGCUAAUACCGCAUACGACCUACGGGUGAAAGCAGGGGAUCUUCGGACCUUGCGCGAUUGAAUGAGCCGAUGUCGGAUUAGCUAGUUGGCGGGGUAAAGGCCCACCAAGGCGACGAUCCGUAGCUGGUCUGAGAGGAUGAUCAGCCACACUGGAACUUAGACACGGUCCAGACUCCUACGGGAGGCAGCAGUGGGGAAUAUUGGACAAUGGGCGCAAGCCUGAUCCAGCCAUACCGCGUGGGUGAAGAGGGCCUUCGGGUUGUAAAGCCCUUUUGUUGGGAAAGAAAAGCAGCAGGUUAAUACCCCGCUGUUCUGACGGUACCCAAAGAAUAAGCACCGGCUAACUUCGUG
rnacentral:rRNA from 1 species